UAUACAUGCAGUCGAGCGGACAGAUGGGAGCUUGCUCCCUGAUGUUAGCGGCGGACGGGUGAGUAACACGUGGGUAACCUGCCUGUAAGACUGGGAUAACUCCGGGAAACCGGGGCUAAUACCGGAUGGUUGUUUGAACCGCAUGGUUCAGACAUAAAAGGUGGCUUCGGCUACCACUUACAGAUGGACCCGCGGCGCAUUAGCUAGUUGGUGAGGUAACGGCUCACCAAGGCGACGAUGCGUAGCCGACCUGAGAGGGUGAUCGGCCACACUGGGACUGAGACACGGCCCAGACUCCUACGGGAGGCAGCAGUAGGGAAUCUUCCGCAAUGGACGAAAGUCUGACGGAGCAACGCCGCGUGAGUGAUGAAGGUUUUCGGAUCGUAAAGCUCUGUUGUUAGGGAAGAACAAGUGCCGUUCAAAUAGGGCGGCACCUUGACGGUACCUAACCAGAAAGCCACGGCUAACUACGUGCCAGCAGCCGCGGUAAUACGUAGGUGGCAAGCGUUGUCCGGAAUUAUUGGGCGUAAAGGGCUCGCAGGCGGUUUCUUAAGUCUGAUGUGAAAGCCCCCGGCUCAACCGGGGAGGGUCAUUGGAAACUGGGGAACUUGAGUGCAGAAGAGGAGAGUGGAAUUCCACGUGUAGCGGUGAAAUGCGUAGAGAUGUGGAGGAACACCAGUGGCGAAGGCGACUCUCUGGUCUGUAACUGACGCUGAGGAGCGAAAGCGUGGGGAGCGAACAGGAUUAGAUACCCUGGUAGUCCACGGAG
rnacentral:rRNA from 1 species